CCCGCCCAGUCUGACCCGGGCUGCAGCUCGGCGCUCUGGGGACGAGCCCUCCGCCGGGCCGAGCAGCCUGGACAUUGGGUGCUGCGAGCUGCCCGGCUCCCGCGACAAGCAGUCGCGCGGGUCCUUGCAGGCGCGGGCCUGGGCUGCACGUGCGCGGGGCGCGGCCACAUCCUCGGGGCGGGACACGAGCCUCAGAGACUGGGUUGGCUGGCGCGCGGUCCCGCCCUCUCCCGCCGCGGGGGCCCCGCUCGGGCGGGAAAAGCCGCAGGUUUCAAAUUUGAAAACCCGGACGAGGAGGGCGGGGGCGAGCGGUGAGAGAUGGCGAUGCGCACGCGCCUGUCUUGGGGCCAGGACGCUGGACAAGAGUUGCAGUUACUGUGUAACAGUUUGUAGACUGAAACAAAGGCACUGUAGCUAUGGAGAGAAACACCGGAAGAUCCGCCCAGGCACAGAACAGGGGGAUGACCCCUAAUGCUCACGUGACUUCGGGAUGUAAUUCCCCUUGGAAGAGAGAGAGGAGGAAUUGACACAGGAUCUCAUUUGCAACAAUCUCGCUUCAAACUUGCUAUGUAACCAAAGAUGGCGACUUCCUGAUAUUCCUUCCCACUCCCAAAUGCCAGGAUUUCAGAUUGGCCUGCGCCUGGUUCCGUCCCUAAGCACGUGGGCCUGGGCUGUGUAAGCUGAGCGGGCCAUGUCUUCAUGGCAAGCCAGUGAGCAUCGUUCCUCCGCGGUCCUGCCCUGUCUUCCCUCAGUGAAGGACUGUGUGGGAUAUGGAGCUGCUUCUGACCGUCCACAGCAGUUGACUAUGAUUUGCCUCGUGCUCUAGCAGGAGUGUGAUUUUGCCAGCUGCAGAUAGUUCCUGCGAUUUUGUGACCUUUGGAAUCCUGGGGAGUUUUCAGAGGGUAAAUACAUGCCCUGAUAUAGGAAGAGGGUUCCUGAGACAGGACUGGUGGCUGGUCACUGAUUGCUUCUGGUCAUGAUUUGUUAAGGAGUCGUGAACAAAGAAGAAACAGGAGAACAAGUUAGGUAUCUUGAAGGCAAAGACCAAACUUGCAAGGAACUGGAUGCUCCUAAUCAGAAGGAAACUCUCUGUCAAUGACAUCGCCCCCCUUCCCCCUCUAUUUUCUUCUCCCUCCUGUCUAGUGUUAGGCGGUUGAAAGGGCGGCAGAAAGAAGAACCCACAAAGUAGCAAACACCGGCUAUAGUCCCCACCCUGCCGCCAGCUCUUGGGCCCUUGAUCUGUGUAUAGCCAAGUUUGGGCACCUGGGGGUAGGUCGUGUGGGAAGGGGAGACUUGCUCCGCUUUUUUAACUGUUUUCCUCGAGCUGUUCUAGAAUGCAUGCACAGCCUCAAGUAGACUGGGAGUUUUCUGGUAUAGAGGGGGGAAAGUGACUCCUAGUUUGCUUUGAGGCAGGACCUGCCCGACUUUGAAGUGAAGUCGGUGGGGUGGGCUGUGUGAGAAUGCCCCUAGAGGCUCAUGUGUUUGAAUGCUUAGGAAGGAUUAGGAGGUGUGGCCUCGAUGGAGGUGUAGCCUUGAAGGAGCUUUCAAAAUCCCAGCCCACCCCAGGUAACUUGCUCUGCCUCAUGCUUGUGGAUGAAGAGGUGAGCUCUCGGGCUACUUCCCUAGUAUCCUGCCUGCCUGCCGCCAUGCUUCCUGUCAUGAGGGUCAUGGACUCUAGUCCUCCAAAACUGUAAGCCCUCCCAAAAGUCCUUUUUUAUCUGGGAGACAGGGUUUCACCCUAUUGUCUUGGCAGGUCUGGGGUUCACUAUGUAGACUAAGUUGGCCUAGAACCUUCAGAGAUCCUCAGGCUUCUGCCUUCCCAGUGCUGACCAAGGGUGUGAGCUACCUGUUGACCAGUACACUUUCUUCUGUAAGUUGCCUUGGUCAUGGUGUCUUAUCACAGUAGCAAGAUCACGGGGAAAGGUCUGUCUCUGUAGGAAGGCCUCUUUGGUUGUGGCACCCCUGACAGACUUUGGUUGCUUGUCUGGAACCCACAUGGCUGCUGGAGGUCUGUCCUUGCUCCUCCUUGGCACUUUCAAGAGUAUCUGUGGGUGUCUGUCUCAAGGCAUUGUCACUGUGGGUGACCUUAGAGUGCUCGUGGACUAGCAGACAGGGUCUCCCUUAGUUAGACUGUCUGGCGGAUGUCCCCUCUACAGACCUGUCUGUCCCUGACAAAGUGGGGACCCUCUGUGACAGUGUUUCAUAUAUUUACUAGGUAUUUUUGUUUGUUUUUUGAGACUGACUCUCAUUUUGCAACCCUGACUGGUCUGAAACUCAGAGAAGCCUUCCUGCCUGCCUCUGUCUCUGCAGGGACUACCAUACCGGUCUACUUAGUGGAUUCUAAAGGAAACUUUAGUUUUCCCAGCCUUGUGCCUCUAGAGCAGUGGUUCCAACCUUCCGGUGCUGGGACCCCUUAGUACAGAUCCUCCUGCCAAGGUGACCCCAUCCAUAAAAGUAUUUUUGUUGCUCCUUCAUAACUGUUACCUUGAUACUGUUGUGAACUAUAAUGUAAAUAUGUGUUGGUCUUAGGUGACCCCUGUAAGAGUGUCACUGAACCCACAAGGGGUCUCGACCCACAGGUUGAGAUCCAGUGCUGUAGCAUGAAGCUAGGGCCGGGAAACUCAUGUCAGAUACAGAAGCCCCAGGGCCAGGUGUAGAUGGGUUUCUGCCAGUAACCGCUACAGGCAAAGGAGGACCUGCUGGGUGGGAGGGUGAAAUUGGGGCUCCCUUGGGCAAACAUUUGUAACUGGAGCCCCACUGUCUUCUUAAUUCUUACUCUCUGGCCUCUCCAGCCUUUUCUUCACUCCUUGCCAGCUGUUUUUGCUUCUGCCCCACCCCAGGCAUCCCCUCUCCUGCCCCAGCCCACCCCAGGCAUCCCCUCUCCUGCCACAUCCUGCCCCAGGGGUCCCUCUUUUUGCUUCACUCUAGUUUCUCUGACACAGAAAACAACCUGAGGAAAGUGUUCCCGCUCUGAGUUGAGAGCACCUGUGGUUAAUCACCCACCCUGUGUGCCAGCCACCUACCAAU